CGCCUGCCAGCCGGCUUGGCUAGCGCGCGGCGGCCGUGGCUAAGGCUGCUACGACGCGAGCUUGGGAGGAGCAGCGGCCUGCGGGGCAGAGGAGCAUCCCGUCGACCCGGUCCCAGGCGGCGUGGCCCGCCGGUCAUGGCCAAAGGAGAAGGCGCCGAGAGCGGCUCCGCGGCGGGGCUGCUGCCCACCAGCAUCCUCCAAACCACUGAACGCCCGGCCCAGGUGAAGAAAGAACCGAAAAAGAAGAAACAACAGUUGUCUGUUUGCAACAAGCUUUGCUAUGCACUUGGGGGAGCCCCCUACCAGGUGACGGGCUGUGCCCUGGGUUUCUUCCUUCAGAUCUACCUAUUGGAUGUGGCUCAGGUGGGCCCUUUCUCUGCCUCCAUCAUCCUGUUUGUGGGCCGAGCCUGGGAUGCCAUCACAGACCCCCUGGUGGGCCUCUGCAUCAGCAAAUCCCCCUGGACCUGCCUGGGUCGCCUUAUGCCCUGGAUCAUCUUCUCCACACCCCUGGCCGUCAUUGCCUACUUCCUUAUCUGGUUCGUGCCUGACUUCCCAGACGGCCAGACCUAUUGGUACCUGCUUUUCUAUUGCCUCUUUGAGACGAUGGUCACGUGUUUCCAUGUUCCCUACUCGGCUCUCACCAUGUUCAUCAGCACCGAGCAGACUGAGCGGGAUUCUGCCACCGCCUAUCGGAUGACUGUGGAAGUGCUGGGCACAGUGCUGGGUACGGCGAUCCAGGGGCAAAUCGUGGGCCAAGCAGACACGCCUUGUUUCCAGGACCUCAAUAGCUCUACAGUAGCUUCACAAAGUGCCAACCAUACACAUGGCACCACCUCACACAGGGAAACGCAAAAGGCAUACCUGCUGGCAGCGGGGGUCAUUGUCUGUAUCUAUAUAAUCUGUGCUGUCAUCCUGAUCCUGGGCGUGCGGGAGCAGAGAGAACCCUACGAAGCCCAGCAGGCUGAGCCGAUCGCCUACUUCCGGGGCCUACGGCUGGUCAUGAGCCACGGCCCAUACAUCAAGCUUAUUACCGGCUUCCUCUUCACCUCCUUGGCUUUCAUGCUGGUGGAGGGGAACUUUGUCUUGUUUUGCACCUACACCUUGGGCUUCCGCAAUGAAUUCCAGAAUCUACUCCUGGCCAUCAUGGUCCAUGUUGCCUGAUGUCAUUGACGACUUCCAUCUGAAGCAGCCCCACUUCCAUGGAACCGAGCCCAUCUUCUUCUCCUUCUAUGUCUUCUUCACCAAGUUUGCCUCUGGAGUGUCACUGGGCAUUUCCACCCUCAGUCUGGACUUUGCAGGGUACCAGACCCGCGGCUGCUCGCAGCCGGAACGUGUCAAGUUUACACUGAACAUGCUCGUGACCAUGGCUCCCAUAGUUCUCAUCCUGCUGGGCCUACUGCUCUUCAAAAUGUACCCCAUUGAUGAGGAGAGGCGGCGGCAGAAUAAGAAGGCCCUGCAGGCACUGAGGGAUGAGGCCAGCAGCUCUGGCUGCUCAGAAACAGACUCCACAGAGCUGGCUAGCAUCCUCUAGGGCCCGCCACGUUGCCCGAAGCCACCACGCAGAAGGCCGCGGGAGGGAUCAGGACCUGUCUGCCGGCUUGCUGAUCAGCUGGACUGCAGGUGCUAGGAAGGGAACUGAAGACUCAAGGAGGUGGCCCAGGACACUUGCUGUGCUCACUGUGGGGCCGGCUGCUCUGUGGCCUCCUGCCUCCCCUCUGCCUGCCUGUGGGGCCAAGCCCUGGGGCUGCCACUGUGAAUAUGCCAAGGACUGAUCGGGCCUAGCCCGGAACACUAAUGUAGAAACCUUUUUUUACAGAGCCUAAUUAAUAACUUAAUGACUGUGUACAUAGCAAUGUGUGUGUAUGUAUAUGUCUGUGAGCUAUUAAUGUUAUUAAUUUUCAUAAAAGCUGGAAAACAGCUGCCUGUU
rnacentral:sRNA from 1 species